rnacentral:rRNA from 1 species
UAGGGAAUUUUCGUCAAUGGGCGCAAGCCUGAACGAGCAAUGCCGCGUGAACGAGGAAGGUCUUCGGAUCGUAAAGUUCUGUUGAAGGGGAAAAAGAGCGGAGAGAGGAAAUGGUCUCCGAUUGAUAUUACCCUUCCGAGGAAGUCACGGCUAACUACGUGCC